rnacentral:rRNA from 12 species
AAAUUUAAUUUUGUGUUAAAUACUAUAAUAAAAUAAAUAAAGAUUUUUAACUAAAUCGCUAAAAGAUAAAUUUGCAGAAGAUUAGAUAGUUGGUAAUUUUAAAGUUUACCAAGUCUACGAUCUUUAGUUGGUCUGAGAGGACGAUCAACCACACUGGAACUGAGACAAGGUCCAGGCCAAUAUAAUGGCCAGCAGUGAGGAAUAUUGGACAAUGAACGAAAGUUUGAUCCAGCAAUACUAUUUGAAUGAAGACGGCUAUUUUUGGUUGUAAAUUUCUUUCGUUAGAAGAUGAUAAUGACAUUAUUCUAAAAUUAGUCCCGGCUAAUACUCGUGCCAGCAGCCGCGGUAAUACGGGAGGGGCGAGCGUUAUUCAUCAUGACUGGGCGUAAAGCGUCUGUAGACUGUAAAAAAAGUUGACUAUGAAAGAUUAAGGCUUAACUUUAAAAAUAUAAUCAAUACUAUUUUACUUGAGUUUUAUGCAGAAAAGUAUUAUUUUAUAUGUAGGGUUAAACUCCAUAGACAUAUAAAGGACUGCCGAUAGCGAAGGCUACUUUUUAGUAAAAACUGACGUUGAGAGACGAAAGUGUGGGUAGCAAACAGGAUUAGAUACCCUGGUAGUCCACACUGUAAAUACUGAGUGCUGUAAUUUAAAUAAUUUUGAUUUUAAUUUCAAAUUUUAGAUUUUUUAAGCUAACGCUAUAAGCACUCCGCCUGAGGAGUACGAUUGCAAGAUUGGAACUCAAAGGAAUUGACGGGGGCCCACGACAGGUGGUGGAGCAUGUGGUUUAAUGCGAUAAUCCGCGCAAAACCUUACCAAUCCUUGUAUAUAAAAUUUAAUGAAAUUAACAUAUUGGGUUAUUAAACAUAAAAAAUUUUAUACAGGUGUUGCACGACUGCCGUCAGCUCGUGUUGUGAAAUGGAAGGUUAAUUCCUUUUAACGAGCGUAACUCUUAUUUUUAAUUUUUUAAUUAUUAAAUGAAUAUUUAAAUAUUUAUUUAAUAUUUUUUUUAAAAAAACUAUCAUUCGAUUUAAAGAUGAAGGAAGUAAAGAAUUAAGUCAAGUCACUGUGGCCUUUAUGGAUUGGGCUACACACGUGCUACAAUGAAAAUUACAAAAAGUUACCUUAAAAAUCAAUAUAUUUUAGUUAAUCUUUAAAAAUUUUCUUAGUUCGGAUUGUAAACUGCAACUCGUUUACAUGAAGUUGGAAUCACUAGUAAUCGCAAAUCAGAACGUUGCGGUGAAUAUGUACUUCGGCCUUGUACACACCGCCCGUCACAUGCGGAAAGUUAAUUUUGCUUGAAAAUUUACAUUUGUAAGUUCAUUGAGAGAUUAAUAAUUUGGAUGAAGUCGUAACAAGGUAGCUGUACGGGAACGUGUAGCUGGA